rnacentral:rRNA from 1 species
UACGGGGGGGGCAAGCGUUGUUCGGAAUUACUGGGCGUAAAGGGCUCGUAGGGGGCCAACUAAGUCAGAGGUGAAAUCCCUCGGCUUAACCGGGGAACUGCGUCUGAUACUGGAUGGCUUGAGUUCGGGAGAGGGAUGCGGAAUUCCAGGUGUAGCGGUGAAAUGCGUAGAUAUCGUAAGGAAGACCAGUGGCGAAGGCGGCAUCCUGGACCAACACUGACGCUGAGGAGCGAAAGCCAGGGGAGCAAACGGG